UACGGGGGGGGCAAGCGUUGUUCGGAAUUACUGGGCGUAAAGGGCUCGUAGGCGGCCAACUAAGUCAGACGUGAAAUCCCUCGGCUUAACCGGGGAACUGCAUCUGAUACUGGAUGGCUUGAGUUCGGGAGAGGGAUGCGGAAUUCCAGGUGUAGCGGUGGAAUGCGCAGAUAUCGGGAGGAACACCCGUAGCGAAGGCGGUUCUCUGGGCCAAUACUGACGCUGAGGAGCGAAAGCGUGGGGAGCGAACAGG
rnacentral:rRNA from 1 species